UACGGGGGGGCAAGCGUUGUUCGGAAUUACUGGGCGUAAAGUGUGCGCAGGCGGCCGCGCAAGUCGAGUGUGAAAUCCCCGAGCUUAACUUGGGAAUUGCGCUCGAAACUACGUGGCUGGAGUGUGGCAGAGGAAGGUGGAAUUCCACGUGUAGCGGUGAAAUGCGUAGAUAUGUGGAGGAACACCGAUGGCGAAGGCAGCCUUCUGGGCCAACACUGACGCUCAUGCACGAUAGCGUGGGGAGCAAACAGG
rnacentral:rRNA from 1 species